rnacentral:rRNA from 1 species
CAACCUACCUAUCANAGGGGAAUAACCCGGCGAAAGUCGGACUAAUACCGCAUAAAACAGGGGCACCGCAUGGUGAUAUUUGUUAAAGAAAUUCGCUGAUAGAUGGGCAUGCGUUCCAUUAGGUAGUUGGUGAGGUAACGGCUCACCAAGCCGACGAUGGAUAGGGGAACUGAGAGGUUGGUCCCCCACACUGGUACUGAGACACGGACCAGACUCCUACGGGAGGCAGCAGUGAGGAAUAUUGGUCAAUGGGCGGGAGCCUGAACCAGCCAAGUCGCGUGAAGGAAGAAGGAUCUAUGGUUCGUAAACUUCUUUUGCAGGGGAAUAAAGUGAGGGACGUGUCCUGUUUUGUAUGUACCCUGAGAAUAAGGAUCGGCUAACUCCGUGCCAGCAGCCGCGGUAAUACGGAGGAUCCGAGCGUUAUCCGGAUUUAUUGGGUUUAAAGGGUGCGUAGGUGGUUUGAUAAGUCAGCGGUGAAAGUUUGCAGCUUAACUGUAAAAAUGCCGUUGAAACUGUCGGACUUGAGUGUAAAUGAGGUAGGCGGAAUGCGUGGUGUAGCGGUGAAAUGCAUAGAUAUCACGAAGAACUCCGAUUG